UGCCUAAUACAUGCAAGUCGAGCGAACAGAUGAGGAGCUUGCUCCUUUGACGUUAGCGGCGGACGGGUUGAGUAACACGUGGGUAACCUACCUAUAAGACUGGAAUAACUCCGGGAAACCGGGGCUAAUGCCGGAUAACAUGUUGAACCGCAUGGUUCAACAGUGAAAGACGGUCUUGCUGUCACUUAUAGAUGGACCCGCGCCGUAUUAGCUAGUUGGUAAGGUAACGGCUUACCAAGGCGACGAUACGUAGCCGACCUGAGAGGGUGAUCGGCCACACUGGAACUGAGACACGGUCCAGACUCCUACGGGAGGCAGCAGUAGGGAAUCUUCCGCAAUGGGCGAAAGCCUGACGGAGCAACGCCGCGUGAGUGAUGAAGGUCUUCGGAUCGUAAAGCUCUGUUGUUAGGGAAGAACAUAUGUGUAAGUAACUGUGCACAUCUUGACGGUACCUAACCAGAAAGCCACGGCUAACUACGUGCCAGCAGCCGCGGUAAUACGUAGGUGGCAAGCGUUAUCCGGAAUUAUUGGGCGUAAAGCGCGCGUAGGCGGUUUUUUAAGUCUGAUGUGAAAGCCCACGGCUCAACCGUGGAGGGUCAUUGGAAACUGGAAAACUUGAGUGCAGAAGAGGAAAGUGGAAUUCCAUGUGUAGCGGUGAAAUGCGCAGAGAUAUGGAGGAACACCAGUGGCGAAGGCGGCUUUCUGGUCUGUAACUGACGCUGAGGUGCGAAAGCGUGGGGAUCAAACAGGAUUAGAUACCCUGGUAGUCCACGCCGUAAACGAUGAGUGCUAAGUGUUAGGGGGUUUCCGCCCCUUAGUGCUGCAGCUAACGCAUUAAGCACUCCGCCUGGGGAGUACGGUCGCAAGACUGAAACUCAAAGGAAUUGACGGGGACCCGCACAAGCGGUGGAGCAUGUGGUUUAAUUCGAAGCAACGCGAAGAACCUUACCAAAUCUUGACAUCUUUUGAUCGCUCUAGAGAUAGAGUUUUCCUCUUCGGAGGACAAAAUGACAGGUGGUGCAUGGUUGUCGUCAGCUCGUGUCGUGAGAUGUUGGGUUAAGUCCCGCAACGAGCGCAACCCUUAAGCUUAGUUGCCAUCAUUAAGUUGGGCACUCUAAGUUGACUGCCGGUGACAAACCGGAAGAAAGGUGGGGAUGACGUCAAAUCAUCAUGCCCCUUAUGAUUUGGGCUACACACGUGCUACAAUGGACAAUACAAAGGGCAGCAAAACCGCGAGGUCAAGCAAAUCCCAUAAAGUUGUUCUCAGUUCGGAUUGUAGUCUGCAACUCGACUACAUGAAGCUGGAAUCGCUAGUAAUCGUAGAUCAGCAUGCUACGGUGAAUACGUUCCCGGGUCUUGUACACACCGCCCGUCACACCACGAGAGUUUGUAACACCCGAAGCCGGUGGAGUAACCAUUUGGAGCUAGCCGUCGAAGGUGGACAAAAG
rnacentral:rRNA from 1 species